rnacentral:rRNA from 1 species
AUUGAACGCUGGCGGCAGGCCUAACACAUGCAAGUCGAACGAGUGGCGGACGGGUGAGUAACGUCUGGGAAACUGCCUGAUGGAGGGGGAUAACUACUGGAAACGGUAGCUAAUACCGCAUACUAUCAGAUGUGCCCCUCUGGGAUUAGCUUGUUGGUGGGGUAACGGCUCACCAAGGCGACGAUCCCUGGCUGGUCUGAGAGGAUGACCAGCAAGACUGGGCCUUAGAAACGGUCGAGACUCCUACGGGAGGCAGCAGUGGGGAAUAUGGCGCAAUGGGCGCAAGCCUGAUGCAGCCAUGCCGCGUGUAUGAAGAAGGCCUUCGGGUUGUAAAGGACUUUCAGCGGGGAGGCGGUACCCGCAGAAGAAGCACCGGCUAACUCCGUGCCAGCCGCCGCGGUAAUAC